rnacentral:rRNA from 1 species
UACAGAGGUCUCAAGCGUUGUUCGGAUUCAUUGGGCGUAAAGGGCGCGUAGGCGGUUCGUUAAGUCCUGUGUGAAAUCCCCCGGCUCAACUGGGGAACUGCACAGGAAACUAGCGGGCUUGAGUUCGGGAGAGGGAAGCGGAAUUCCGGGUGUAGCGGUGAAAUGCGUAGAUAUCCGGAGGAACACCGGUGGCGAAGGCGGCUUCCUGGACCGA